GCAACCUCAGCUCAGGCGAGAACCCCGCUGAUUUUAAGCAUAUAAUUAAGCGGAGGAAAAGAAACUUACAAGGUUUCCCCUAGUAGCGGCGAGGGAAGAGCCCAGCAUGAAAAUUAGGCGGCAGUGUCACCUGAGUUGUAGUCUAUAGAAGCGCCCUCAGUGGUGGACCUAGGCCAAGUCCCUUGGAAGGGGGUGCCUGAGAGGGUGACAGCCCCAUUGGCCUAGGACCCUGCCGCAUCACGAGGUGUAUUCAGUGAGUCGGGUUGUUUGGGAAUGUAGCCCUAAUUGGGUGGUAAAUUUCGUCCAAGGCUAAAUACGGGUGAGAGACCAAUAGCAAACAAGUACCGUGAGGGAAAUAUGAAAAGGACUUUGAAAAGAUAGUUAAAGAGUGCUUGAAAUUGCCGAGAGGGAAGCGGAUGGAGGUUGUCGAUGUGUCUCGGUCGAAUGUGGAACGGCUCAGGCUGGUCCGCCACUUGACUUGAGGUGCAAACCAACACGGGAUGUUGCAUCGUCACAAGCACAGGUGGAUUUCUGCCUGUCGGUUUGCUGUUGCAAUGGUCGAGGAACGAAGCGUGCACCCUUGUGGCGGGCUGUGUGCACCUGCACGCUCGUGGUGUUGGUUAGCGGGCUUUCCUUUCGACCUGUCUUGAAACACGGACCAAGGAGUCUAACAUGUGUGUGAGUCAGUGGGUUUGAAAACCUACGAGGUGCAACAAAGCUAACGAGUGUGAUCACCUCUCUUGGUGGGGUGCAUCGUCGACUGACCUUGAGCUUAUGCAAAGGGUUCGAGUUCGAGCACACCUAUUGGGACCUGAAAGAGGGUGAACUAUGCUUGAGCAGGGCGAAGCCAGAGGAAACUCUGGGGGAGGCUCGUAGUGAUACUAAUGUGCAAAUCAUUUGUCUGACUUGGGUAUAGGGGUGAAAGACUGAUCGGACCAUCUAGUAGCUAGUUUCCUCUGAAGUUUCCCUCAAGAUAGCUGGAGUUCAUGCACAAGUUUUAUCAAGUAAAUCAAAUGAUUAGAGGCAUCGGGGGCAUAACACACUCGACCUAUUCGCAAACUUUAAAUAGGUAAGAGGGUGUGGUUGCUCCAUUGAGCCACGCCGUGGAAUCGAGAGCUCCAAGUGGGCCAUUUUUGGCAAGUAGAAUUGGUGAUGCGGGAUGAACUGAAAAUCAGGUUAUAGUGCCGAAUUGCAUGCUAACCUAGAUCCCACAAAGGGUGUUGGUUGAUUAAGACAGCAGGAUGGUGGUCAUGGAAGUCAAAAUAUGCUAAGGAGUGUGUAACAACUCACCUACUGAAUCAACUAGCCUUGAAAAUGGAUGGCGCUGAAGCGCGCAACCUAUACUCGAUCGUCGGAGCAAUUGCCUAGAAACAAUGAGUAGGAGGACGCAGGGGUCAUUGAGAAAUCCCGGGCGUGAGCUUGGGUGGAUCGGCCCCCAGUGCAGAUCUUGGUGGUAGUAACAAAUAUUCAAAUGAGAACUUUGAAGACUAAAGUGGGGAAAGGUUCCAUGUGAACAGCACUUGGACAUGGGUUAGUCGAUCUUAAGAGAUGGAGAAGUCUUGUAUCAAGGGUGCACUCUGCAUGAGCAUUGAAAGGGAAUUAGGUUAAUAUUCCCAAACCGGGACAUGCGGUAGGCGACAACAUUAGGAAAUUCCGAGACGUCGUCGGGGACCCCGAGAAGAGUUAUCUUUUCUUUUUAACAACUUUCCCACCUUGGAAUCGGUUCACCCGGAGAUAGGGUCCAGUAGCCAGAAGAACAAUGCACGUCUUAUGGUGUCCGGUGCACCCUUAGUGCCCCUUGAAAAUCUAGAGGACUGAGUACCUUUCAUGCCCAGUCGUACUCAUAACCGCAUCAGGUCUCCAAGGUGAACAACCUCUGGUCAAUAGAACAAUGUAGGUAAGGGAAGUCGGCAAAACGGAUCUGGAACUUCGGGAAAAGGAUUGGCUCUGAGGGUUGGGCCUAGGGGUCUGCGCCCUCAACUUGUGGGUUGUUGGCGGUCUACCGGAGCUGCUCUUGCGGUGAGGGCAGGUAGUCCCAUGCCGAUUGGGCUAUGGGUAUAGAAUGCCCCCUGUCGGGGGCUUUUCCCUAGGCAUCGAACAGUCGACUCAUAACUGGUAUGGACAAGGGGAAUCCGACUAUUUAAUUAAAACAAAGCAUUGCAAUGGUCCCUGAAGAUGCUGACGCAAUGUGAUUUCUGCCCAGUGCUCUAAAUGUCAAAGUGAAUAAAUUCAACCAAGCGCGGGUAAACGGCGGGAGUAACUAUGACUCUCUUAAGGUAGCCAAAUUCCUCGUCAUCUAAUUAGCGACGCACAUGAAUGGAUUAACAAUAUUCCCACUGUCCCUAUCUACUACUAGCGAAAUGACAACCAAGGGAAUGGGCUUGGCAAAAUCAGCAGGGAAAGAAGACCCUAUUGAGCUUGACUCUAGUUCGACUUUGUGAAAUGACUUGAGAGGUGUAGAAUAAGUGGGAGCCGUUUUUGGUGCAAGUCAAAUACCACUACUUUUAAUGUUAUUUUACUUAUUUCGUGUGGUGGAGAUGGGGCACUGCCCUAUUUUUGGCCUUAAGGCACGUUUCUGUGGGUUGACCCGUGUGGAAGACAUUAUCAGGUGGGGAGUUUGGCUAGGUCAGCACAUCUAUUAAAAGAUAAUGCAAGUGUCCUAAGAUGAGCUCAAUGAGAAUAGAAAUCUCGUGUGGAACAAAAGGGUAAAAGCUCAUUUGAUUUUUAUUUUCAGUACGAGUACAAACCGUGAAAGCGUGGCCUAUCGAUCCUUUAGAUUUUCCGAAUUUGAAGCUAGAGGUGUCAGAAAAGUUACGACAGGCAUAACUGGCUUGUGGUAGCCAAGAAUUCAUAGCGACGUUGCUUUUUUAUCCUUCGAUGUCGACUCUUCCUAUCAUUGUGAAGCAGAAUUCACCAAGUGUUGGAUUGUUCACCCACCAAUAGGGAAUGUGAGUUGGGUUUAGAUCGUCAUGAGACAGGUUAGUUUUACCCUACUGAUGAACCACACUGCAAUAGUAAUUCAACUUAGUAUGAGAGGAACAAUUGAUUCACACAAUUGGUCAUCGCACUUGGUUGAAAAGUCAGUGGCGCGAAGCUACCAUGUGUCAGAUUAUGACUGAACGCCUCUAAGUCAGAAUCCACGCUAGAAGUGAUGCAUGUCACUCUUCGACUGUAUCUCGACUCGCAGUAGGGGCGUCUAUUUGUCGCCCCCUGGGGCCCGUGUCAUUUGCAAACCCUAACCAUGAAGCAUCUUGGUCGGGGUAGCUUUGAAGUUCAAUUCCAAAUGGUCGUUGAGAAGAAUCCU
rnacentral:rRNA from 1 species